rnacentral:rRNA from 1 species
ACGGAGGCAGCAGUGGGGAAUAUUGGGCAAUGGGCGAAAGCCUGACCCAGCAACGCCGCGUGAAGGAAGAAGGUCUUCGGAUUGUAAACUUCUUUUAUGAGGGACGAAGGAAUUGACGGUACCUCAUGAAUAAGCCACGGCUAACUACGUGCCAGCAGCCGCGGUAAUACGUAGGUGGCAAGCGUUAUCCGGAUUUACUUGGUGUAAAGGGCGCGUAGGCGGGAAAGCAAGUCAGAUGUGAAAUCCAUGGGCUCAACUCAUGAGCUGCAUUUGAAUCUUUUUUUCUUGAGUGUCGGAGGGGUAGAUGGAAUUCCUAGUGUAGCGUUGAAAUGCGUAGAUAUUAGUAAGAACACCAGUGGCGAAGGCGAUCUACUGGACGAUAACUGACGCUUAGGCGCGAAAGCGUUGGGAGCAAACAGGAUUAGAUACCCUGGUA